GCGAAAGCGUGGGGAGCAAACGGGAUUAGAUACCCCGGUAGUCACGCCGUAAACGAUGUCUACUAGCCGUUGGAGGACUUGAUCCUUUAGUGGCGCAGCUAACGCGAUAAGUAGACCGCCUGGGGAGUACGGUCGCAAGAUUAAAACUCAAAUGAAUUGACGGGGGCCCGCACAAGCGGUGGAGCAUGUGGUUUAAUUCGAAGCAACGCGAAGAACCUUACCUACUCUUGACAUCCAGUGAACUUUUGAGAGAUCAAUUGGUGCCUUCGGGAACACUGAGACAGGUGCUGCAUGGCUGUCGUCAGCUCGUGUUGUGAAAUGUUGGGUUAAGUCCCGUAACGAGCGCAACCCUUGUCCUUAGUUACCAUCAUUAAGUUGGGGACUCUAAGGAGACUGCCGGUGACAAACCGGAGGAAGGCGGGGACGACGUCAAGUCAUCAUGGCCCUUACGAGUAGGGCUACACACGUGCUACAAUGGCAUGUACAAAGGGUUGCCAAGCCGCGAGGUGGAGCUAAUCCCAUAAAGCAUGUCGUAGUCCGGAUUGGAGUCUGCAACUCGACUCCAUGAAGUCGGAAUCGCUAGUAAUCGUGAAUCAGAAUGUCACGGUGAAUACGUUCCCGGGCCUUGUACACACCGCCCGUCACACCAUGGGAGUGGGUUGCUCCAGAAGUAGAUAGCUUAACCUUCGGGAGGGCGUUUACCACGGAGUGAUUCAUGACUGGGGUGAAGUCGUAACAAGGUAACCGUA
rnacentral:rRNA from 1 species